CUCCGCCAAGCAGUGCUUUCAACUUAACCCGAGGAAAAAUAUGCCACUUCACAGGAGAAAGGAAACCACUGGAUUUCCGCAGCACUUUUCAGUACUAGCAACUUAUUGUAUCUCCAUCUUUCCCAACGAUCCUGCUCUGUGCAAAGAGGCAACGUAUGAUCAGAAGUGGCAUGUGAGCCGGCGCAUCAGAUGCUUUCCUGUUCCGUGAUGUGAAAGCCCCGAGACGAAAAGGAACAAAAAAUAAAAAACAGGUUUAAUGACUCCACAAUAGAGGAUGAGAAGCAAAAGAAGGAAGAAAAACACUUGGGCUAUCAAGACAAUUUGUUCCUUCCAACUUUGAAAUAUUUCAUGACUUGGAGUAAGACUGGGAAGAGAGAGGGAAUAAGCUGAAUGGCUUUGUUUUCAAAUAACCAGUAAAAUGACAGCCCGAACUGUGGAAAAUGACAAAGAUAAGGACACAGGAGCAAAAACUGAAAUCUGAAAAACACGCAUUCAGCAGCCAUCUAACCCUGGCUGUGUCUAAGGAUAAACAAGAAAAGAGCCUGGAAAUAUCCACUGGACCAAAGUUGUAUAGACCUAGCAGCAAAAGUUAAAAAAAAAAGUUUACUCCUUGUGGCUAUUCUGAGGGCUUCAAAAAGCAGCCACAAAGGGACAGCCUUUGUGUACCACACAUCACAAGGAUACAGACAGCAUUUUCCUGCCAGAUCCAAGCUGUUAAUGAAGAUGUUGAAGAGCACUGGGCUGAGGAUGGGGCCCUGUGGAACCCCACGAAUGACCAGACACCAACCACUCACUAUAACUCUCUGUGCCCAAGCUGUGAGCCAGUUGCUCAGCUGUCACGUAACGCGGUUAUUCAGCUCUGGGAUGGAUGUUCUGUCCACAAGGACACCGUGAGACACAGCAUCAAUGGCUUUGCUGAAGUCCAGAAAGAUUGUAUCUACUGGAUUUCAUCGAUAACUAGGUUUCAAAAGCAGGAUCCAGAGCCACAUGUUCAGCACCCCUAUGGGAAGAGGAGCAUGUCCAAUUCUAUUGUGCUUGGGGCCAUGGGCAGAAGUGUGGGUGCCUGAACAAGCUAAGGAAAAGAGGCUCUUGCUGAGUCUCCAGUCUUCAAGGAGAGUGUGAGAUUUUGUGUUAUUGGUGAGAAAUCAAGCAGCAGGAAGCCAAAGUGUUUUCUAGAAUAGCUAAAAUGUUUUCCAGCCCUGAAGGUACACUUUGAUUUCUUCUUACUUUGAAUGCUUUUCCUGACCCUCCCGAAAAUUCCCUUUCUUCUCUGCUGUUUGUCUCACUCUGCUUUCACCAAACUUCUCAGAGUAACCAGUUGCUCUAUUUGUGAAAGACAAUUUCAUGCUAUGUUGGCACAUCUAGUAGAGAUGAUGUCCCAGACAGAAAGCUACAGAAGGUUUUGCUGGGUGUGGUUUUGUGGAGACCUGUGCACCUCAGUAUGUGUAUGUGCACAGUGUUUUCCUCUUUCCUCUCAACUGACAUCAAACCAGAAGAAGGGAAUGUUUCUGAAAAAAAAAAUUGCAAAACUCUAUAAAUUAAUUUCAAACCAAAGCCAUUUGGGUCCUCAAAUUAUAGGCAACAACACUGGCAACUGCUGUUAUUGACUCCGCAGUGGGUAGCUCAAGGGAGUCAAGGUGAUUGACAGCUCUCUCUGGACUAAAAACCACUGAAGAUGAGCCAUUUUUUUCUACAGCUGAUGUAUUCCUACAGAAGCUUGAAAGAGCAACACGAACUUCUGCUUUUCCUCCACUUUAAAAAUAUUUAUAUUAUUGCCUGUUUAGAGCCCUCCAGAGCACUUUUUUGCUUUCUAACCAGAUUUUGGUCAUAUGUCAUCAUAUACACAAUGAGGCAUAUGUCAUCCUUGCAUUUCUGCUCCUUUUAGGUUACCUACCACAAAUAAUAAUUAAAAAAAGAAAUCCAAAUAAAAUAUGAUACUGGAAAAAACCAAAAAAGGACUCAGAAACAGCUCCCAAGAUCUGAAGAGAAUUUCUGAAAUUACAGUGGAAGUUUUCUCCUCCAAAACCUAGGUGUAUUUUCCACAUUCCCUGACUGAUUCAUGGAAUAGUCACUAAGUUGAUGGAAUAGCUCUGAAAGAUUUAAAAAGAUUAUACCAAUUAAGUCAGCUUAAACAUUGGCAACACAUUAAAGUCAUUGAAAUUAUUACACACUUCAGAAAAUAUAAAGUUAUUAGUACAAUACUUGUAUAUUCUGUUACAAUAUUAGAUAUUAAGAAACAGCUGACUCCUUUUUUUCUUUCCAAUAAGCCCUGGGUUGAAAAUCUAUUCUUUGCCCAUCCGGUUUGUCUGCACAUAUUCUCUCAACAAUAAUCAUUCUUUCAGCAGAGUGUCUUUUCCUUAAUGCAGAGUCUCAUCUAGGAGCAGUGCACUGAUGUCUUUGGUGGAAUUUGGUGCUCAGCAUAUGCAGCACUCAGAUGUGCUAUGAAUAGUGUACAUACAAAUCACCUCUAAAUUUGUUCAUUCCAGUAGUGUAAAUUAGCAACAUUCUGAACAGAUUUUUCAAAGCAUUCAUCACAGAAAAAAAUUUUUAGAUCUUCUAUGAAUGCUAGUUCUGCUUUAGUAUCACAGAACUCCAAAUCUCUGUCUUCCCAAACUUAUGGGAACACACUCUUCAUUCUAUCACAAACAAGACUUAACAGUUAGUAUUUUUUUAUUAUUUACUUCACUAAAGCUGUGCUCUAACUACACUAGUGCUCAAAGUACAGCCAGUCAGCCAGCUGUUCAAUUGCUCUGUCAGCAACACAGAAUCUUUUAAAACUAAACUGCUAAAAUGGCUGUUUAAAGACAUGUCAAACUAUUCAGUGGUGUAUAAAAUACUGAAUGGGAGCCACUGUUUGCUGGUUAAUGAUGGGCAAGAGACAUAAUUUUCCAUGAAAACAGUAAAAUUUUUGGGACUUGCAUUGUUGUACUAAUGCCUCCUAAUUUGCAGCACACAGCACUGCAUGAAAAAGGACUCACAUAGAAAAGACAUAACUGGGCUGAAUUCCAUAGGCCUUUGCCAGGCAAAAGCCAUUUACUCAAUUAAACAGCACAGAAUUUAGCACACAGAUCCUGACAAUUUGUCUCAUACACAAAAAUGUAUGGUUUUCUAAAAUAAGAAAAUUUGACACUAACCAAUUUUAUUUCAUAUUCCCAUCUGAUAAACAGCAGAAGUAUGAAUGUUUAUAUCCCUUCUAUAAUUCCCACUUCUAGCGCAACUGUAAAUACUGUGAAGAGAUAUAAAAUUUUAAGACUUUUUGGGCUCCUGUUUGCCAUCUGUCUGCAAUGAUAUCUUGGGGCAAUAUGUGAUAGAGUUUAAUUAUGCAUUGCAAAAAAAUUGUAAGUAUUUUUUACUUAGCUUCAUGUUGAACUGAUUGAAUGUUUCCUUGUUGUCAGCAUCUAGGAACUGUGAACAUGAGGGACUAAAAGAGACCCCAGGAAAUCAUCUAGAUUAAUCUCCUCUCAGAGAAACAUCAAUACCACUUACUUUCAACUAGAAGGAUGUUCUAGUCUGUGACUUGUCAUUUUAAGUUGUAUACAAUGGACAAACAUCACCUGAUAGGUUUUUUUUUCUGAAAAGAAAUUAAAGUCUUUUAUUAUCUUCGGUAAGGAUUAAAUAUUUCCUACUAAGUUUAAAUUGCAAAAGGGGCCAUUACAGAAAAUAGCCAAUUUCACUUAUCUUUACAACAUCAACAGUGCCAUGAUUCCUGGGUAGCAUUUAGCAUAAUUUCAGCUUCAAGUUUAAAGUCAUGACUACAGUUUGUCCCAAGGGACAAAUUCCUGCUAUUUGUAAAGACACACAGAGAUUUUUGCUGCCCUUCCUACAAAAGAAUGAAUGACAGGCAGGGCUGACUUCAAGAACAAUAAAAAAAAAUUCCCAGAAAAAUUUCUGGUGGGAAAGAAGAUGAGGCAAAAAGGCUAUGAAUUUAAGCAUAGCCUGAUUACAAUAUUCAAAUGGCUUUUGGAUCCAAGAUAAUUUGCUGAGUCAGAGCCCAUUCAACUUCAGGGAAGUGAUAAAUUUUUUUGCUCAUCUAACAAGAUGAACAAACCCUGAGAUAUCUGGAAAGGUUUAGCUGACUUCUCUAUACAUUUGUACUGAAGCAAGCUUCUGCAGAAGCAAAUUUCGUAGUCUAGAGCCAUUCACUAAGUCAGUACUCAUACAACAUACUUUAUCCUCGUGAUGUAUAGCUUCAUUACUCAGAGCGUUUCCAGCUUUUCACUACCAAAUCUGAUCUGCCCUCCAACUGCUUCUCUGAGCAAUGCACAAAAUAUUGCGCGCAGCAGUCCCUUCUGACUCAAUUCAUUGCUACCUAGUUUCUAAUGACGUAUAUGCAUUAUUGUAGUUCAUUCUUAAGUCUUCCAGUGAAUCUAUGAAUUCACUUUGUACCUGUAGCCAUAACCAGAAUGUUAGAUUUUACACAAAGGUGAAGAGAAUAUAAUAAUCUCAAUAUUUUGGUCAAAGUUUGGAAACACUGCUUUAGCUUUUUCAGGAAAAUUUGUGUGCUUCAUUCUUUAGCUGUCCUUUGUAGGUCAGUCUCUCCUCCUGGGGAAAGCACCUAUUUUCAUACAAAAGUCCUGUUUAGUCAAAAACUACUUCUGCAGUGAGCAUGCUCAAGUGUAACUUUCCAUCAAGCAUAAUACCAGCACAACAGUGGAGGUUAAAAUUUAAAUUCCUGUUAACAUGUUCAUUUUAUAGUCUGUUCUUUCUCAUUCUAUUCUCUAAACCUCUUUUACGUGAAAGGAUGCUUCUCAAGGAUACAGCUAAUGCAGGGAUGCAUAACAUACGAACCAUUUACAGUCAAGGCUAAACCAGUCUUUACCUCAUUAAAGUUAUGCUUUGGCAGCUGUUACAGUCUAUCAGGAAAGGAACAUUGCAAACUAAACAAUGCAAAAUAACUCAGCACAAAAAUAAGAAUUGUUUUGUUGAGUCCUACCUCUGCAUCUUCCAAAUUUAAUCAGACUCUUGAUGUUAGUUUAGCAUAUUUUUCGUCUGGAUUCCCUUUUUGGUGUUUAGAAGGAGAAAAAAAUGAAUAAAUAUUUAUAACAGACAUUUUAUUUAAAAUUAACUGUUCUGGUGAAAAGAACCAGGCAGUUCUGAUGGAACUCUGCAGCACUUCAGGGAAAAUUGGAGCUUUGCUGUACUGAGUUUCACAGGAGUAGCCAUUUUGCCUAACGUGAAGUCUCCUCAUGAAAACAAUCACUUUGCAGAAUAGGCUCUACCCAUCUAGGAGCACCAAAACCAAAUUCAUACCACUAAUGUCAUUGUAUCAAGAAUUCAGUCAUACAGGCUUCUUAAUCAAUCAUUCUGACCUUGUACUGUGAUACCACAAUGGUAUUCUUCCCAUAACCUCGCAGGCUGUACUACUAGUUAAAUUACCACCAGUAAUACUGGCGUCAUAAAAGAUGUCUAUGUAUAAUAUUUAAAAAUAAACACAUAAGCAUAUACUUAAUAUAUAUAUUAUAUAUAUUUUUAAAUGUAUUA